rnacentral:rRNA from 1 species
UACGUAGGGGGCUAGCGUUGUCCGGAAUCAUUGGGCGUAAAGAGCGUGUAGGCGGUCCGGUAAGUCCGCUGUGAAAGUCGGGGGCUCAACCCUCGAAUGCCGGUGGAUACUGUCGGGCUAGAGUGCGGAAGAGGCGAGUGGAAUUCCUGGUGUAGCGGUGAAAUGCGCAGAUAUCAGGAGGAACACCUAUUGCGAAGGCAGCUCGCUGGAACGGUACUGACGCUGAGACGCGAAAGCGUGGGGAGCGAACAGG